rnacentral:rRNA from 1 species
UGGUGCUGGUUUCGGCUCUCACUUACAGAUGGGCCCGCGGCGCAUUAGCUAGUUGGUGAGGAAUCGGCUCACCAAGGCGACGAUGCGUAGCCGACCUGAGAGGGUGAUCGGCCACACUGGGACUGAGACACGGCCCAGACUCCUACGGGAGGCAGCAGUAGGGAAGCCUCCGCAAUGGACGAAAGUCUGACGGAGCAACGCCGCGUGAGUGAUGAAGGUUUUCGGAGCGUAAAAC